rnacentral:rRNA from 1 species
GAUGAACGCUGGCGGCGUGCCUAAUACAUGCAAGUCGAACGAAGCUUUUUUAACUGGUGCUUGCACCGACUUAAACAACUGAGUGGCGAACGGGUGAGUAACACGUGGGUAACCUGCCCCAAAGCGGGGGAUAACAUUUGGAAACAGAUGCUAAUACCGCAUAACCACAGAAACCACAUGGUUUCUGUGUCAAAGAUGGUUUCGGCUAUCACUUUGGGAUGGAUCCGCGGCGUAUUAGCUAGUUGGUAAGGUAAUGGCUUACCAAGGCAAUGAUACGUAGCCGAACUGAGAGGUUGAUCGGCCACAUUGGGACUGAGACACGGCCCAAACUCCUACGGGAGGCAGCAGUAGGGAAUCUUCCACAAUGGACGAAAGUCUGAUGGAGCAACGCCGCGUGAGUGAAGAAGGUUUUCGGAUCGUAAAACUCUGUUGUCAGAGAAGAACGUGUGCGAGAGUAACUGUUCGUGCAGUGACGGUAUCUGGCCAGAAAGCCACGGCUAACUACGUGCCAGCAGCCGCAGUAA